GCUCGUCCACAGGGGUGCUUCCGCUCGGAAGCUGAGAUGCGGCGCAGGCUGCGAACCCUUCAAGCUGAUCUGGAUAAUGCCAGCGGAGCGAGAUGGAAUGCACGAUGCG
rnacentral:ncRNA from 1 species